rnacentral:lncRNA from 1 species
GUCAGCUCCCUCCUCUGAUGUCCUCCUCUGAUGUCCAGUUACUCUAAGGAGAGUGUUUUUGAGGGCCUACUCUGUGCAGGUACUAUGCUGGGUACUGGAGUACAAGCACGCGGAGGACUCAGUCCCUGCCCUUGAGAAACCACAGGAUGGUGGAGGAGACAGAUAAUCAGUGCCUUCUGCACAGAGUGCAGAAUUGGAACACUCUGUCUUGGCAAGUCAUGCCUCCUUGGAGAGCGUUCAGAAGGAGCUGCCCUUUCUGGCCCGGAGCAAACCGAACCUCAGCAUCUUCACUGUGCAAAUUGCACAAGCCAGAAAUCAAGGAGUCACUCUUAUAUCUCACCCUCCCAUGAUCAAUCUGCCACCAAAACCCCAUUAGCCUUAUUUAUUUCCUUAAUAUUUCUAAAAAUUUCCACUUCUCUCCACCUCCGUGGCCACCACCGUGCUCCAAGCUCCCAUCCCCUCUGGCUUGACAAAUUCCUCCUGGCGGGUCCUCCUGCCUCGCUCUGCUUCCCCUGCCCUCUCUUCUCCCCUCUGCAGUGGGAAUAAGCUUAUCACAAGGACAUUUGGUGGCACUGCCCUGCGGAUGAAACUCUGCUCUGGCUUUGCACAGCUCUUAGCAUAAAAGGGAACUCCUCCAGCUGGUCCAGGGGCCCUGCUGGUCCAGCCCUGCCCCCCACCUCUCCACGCCGGGUUCUCUGUGCUCCAGCCACCUUGUCUGCCUACAGUCCAGCACACUCUG